GGAAUCUUGCGCAAUGGGCGAAAGCCUGACGCAGCGACGCCGCGUGAGGGAUGAAGGCCUUCGGGCUGUAAACCUCUGUCAGGAGGGAAGAACCCGGGAUCGGUGAACAGCCGCUCCCGCUGACGGUACCUCCAGAGGAAGCCCCGGCUAACUCCGUGCCAGCAGCCGCGGUAAUACGGAGGGGGCGAGCGUUAUUCGGAAUUAUUGGGCGUAAAGGGCGCGUAGGCGGCUCGAUAAGUCAAAGGUGAAAUCCCUCGGCUCAACUGAGGAACUGCCUUUGAAACUGUAGAGCUUGAGUCCGGGAGGGGGUAGCGGAAUUCCCAGUGUAGCGGUGAAAUGCGUAGAUAUUGGGAGGAACACCAGUGGCGAAGGCGGCUACCUGGACCGGAACUGACGCUGAGGCGCGAAAGCGUGGGUAGCAAAC
rnacentral:rRNA from 1 species